rnacentral:lncRNA from 1 species
GCUUUUGGCUUAAUUAUGAAGUACUAGUUACUAUAACCAUUAUUUUGAGUUUCAUGUAAAUCAAGAACACAUGGACUCCACUUGCAAAACAUUGAAAAUGUAGUUAGGGAUUGGGGGCAUAAAGCAACAUUUUAAAAUGUGUAAAGACAAUGAGUAAGCAACAAAGUGUCCAAUUUUUUAGGGGAAAGUUGCAUACGUUAGGAAAAGGCAGGAUUAAGUAACAGAGAAUUUGAAUGAUAACUGGCCAAUUGGUGUCAUUUACAAUUGCAAGUCAUACAAAUGAAGUUUCCUUUUUUAAAGAGGAAAGGAGUUAUUUAGAAUGGGUCAACCUAUUGGGGAAGCAAUGUAGUUAGAGACAAUGCCCAAAACCAUGUGAGCCAAUGCUCUGUAGAGCAUACCCCUGCAAUGCUGCCAUUGUGAGGCCAAGUCUCUCCUUGUCUUGGUACUGAGCCCUCCAUUCUGCCUCCAUCAUUGCCACUGUAGCUGCCACAAAAUGAUCCCUCAACCACCGCUGCCCAGGAACAAAGAAAGAUUUCUGUCUUUCCGCGCUCUCAGAUCAAUUUCCAACAUCAGGUGAGCCUUUGAUGGGCACUAUUCAGUUCCCAUAUCCAUCUUUGUUUGUCUUCCGCUGCACUUUUCCUUCCAC